rnacentral:rRNA from 1 species
GCCGCGGUAAUUCCAGCUUCAGCAGCAUCUAUUAAAGUUGCUGCGGUUAAAAGGCUCGCAGUUGAAUGUCUGUAUCGAGCGCAGGUCAGGUGGACGUUGGGGCGUGGAAGUACGGGCAGUUGGAUGUUCGGGGGGCCUCGUGCUCAACGGCUCCUUCGGCUUUUCCACACACCCCCGUCCCUUACAAGCCUCCUCGCUCGGGUACAUAACGGGAAUCGGUCAAACGGAGUGUGGUCUUGGGAGUUGGGGCGUGCGUGGCUUCGCGGUUGCGUGCGUUCUUUCUUUCGGGGCUGCGUCAAGCUCCAUCGGUUUCACGGUCACCUUGAGUAAAUCAGAGUGCUCAAAGCAGUCGUAGGGGCCUUGCGCCCUGUGAACAGUCUUGACGGACUGACUUGGUUUUGCAUGGCAUGUCGGAAGACGACGUCGUGUGCUGGCUCAGAGGAUAAAUCAGUGGUACAAGCCAGCCUCGACGUAAUGAUUAAAAGGGACGGUCGAGGGCAUUGGUAUUGCGAGGCGAGAGGUGAAAUUCUGUGACCCCCGCAAGACCUCCUGAAGCGAAAGCGUCUGCCAAGGACGUUUUCAUUAAUCAUGAACGAAAGUUAGAGGAUCGAAGGCGAUCAGAUACCGCCCUAGUUCUAACCCUAAACGAUGCCAACCAUCAAUCCGCGCGUAGCACCCUUCUUAACGGGCUCGGCGGGCAGCUCCCCACUCACGGGAAACCAGAGCCUCUGGGUUCCGGGGGGAGUCUGGUUGCAAAGCUGAAACUUAAAGGAAUUGACGGAAAGGCACCACCAGGCGUGGAGCCUGCGGCUUAAUUUGACCCAACACGGGCCAUCUCACCAGGCCAGCACUCUUGUACGAUUGACAGAUUGAGAGCUCUUUCUCGAUUCAGUGGAUGGUGGUGCAUGGCCGUUCUUAGUUGGUGGAGUGAUCUGUCUGGUUAAUUCCGAUAACGAACGAGACUCUCCCCUGCUAACUAGUCGGUUGGAUCUUGAUCAGUGGGUUGAGUGCCGAGUAACUCUCGCUGUGCGUGGUGUGCGUCUCGUUCCUCACGGUUCGUUGCGUGCUCAUGUGUGGCGUUGGAUGCCUUGGAUCACACUGCACCCCAAGUCCGCCGCUUUGCUAUAACUCUUCUUAGAGGGAUUCACGGCACUGAAGCCGUAAGAGACUGAGAGCAAUAACAGGUCUGUGAUGCCCUUAGAUGCUCUGGGCCGCACGCGCGCUACAAUGCCGGGCACAGCAGGUGUUUCUCCUGCUCCGACAGGAGCGGGUAACCCUCUGAAAGCCAGUGUUCUUGCAAGUGCUUCCUCCCUCGUGGAGUUGCACAGAGGCGUGCUUGGGCCUGGGACUUGCAAUUCUUUCCCACCAACGAGGAAUGCCUAGUAGCGGCGGGUCACUGAGCCCGCUGUGACUCAGUCCCUGCCCUUUGUACACACCGCCCGUCGCUACUACCGAUUGGGUGUACCAGUGAGAGCCUUGGACUGGCGUCCGUUGUUGCUCGCAAGAGUGACAAGCGGGUCCGACGGAAAGAGGUCCGAACUGGUGCACUUAGAGGAAGUAAAAGUCGUAACAAGGUUUCCGUAGGUGAACCUGCGGAAG